rnacentral:rRNA from 1 species
CCUACGGGAGGCAGCAGUGGGGGAUAUUGCACAAUGGGGGGAACCCUGAUGCAGCGACGCCGCGUGGGUGAAGGCGCGUUUCGGCGCGUUAAGCCCUAUCGGCAGGGAAGUAGAUGACGGUACCUGACCAAGAAGCCCCGGCUAACUACGUGCCAGCAGCCGCGGUAAGACGUAGGGGGCCAGCGUUAUCCGGAUUUACUGGGUGUAAAGGGGGCGCAGUCGGCGAUGCAAGCCAGGAGUGAAAGCCCGGGGCCCAACCCCGGGACUGCACUUGGAACUGGAUGGCUGGAGUACAGGAGGGGCAGGCGGAAUUCCUGGUGUAGCGGUGAAAUGCGUAGAUAUUAGGAGGAACACCGGUGGCGAAGGCGGCCUGCUGGACUGUGACUGACGUUGAGGCCCGAAGGCGUGGGGAGCAAACAGGAUUAGAUACCCCAGUAGUC